rnacentral:rRNA from 1 species
GACGUAGGGCGCGAGCGUUGUCCGGAUUUAUUGGGCGUAAAGAGCUCGUAGGCGGCUUGUCGCGUCAACUGUGAAAACCCGUGGCUCAACCAUGUGGUCUGCAGUCGAUACGGGCAGGCUAGAAUUCGGUAGGGGAGACUGGAAUUCCUGGUGUAGCGGUGAAAUGCGCAGAUAUCAGGAGGAACACCAAUAGCGAAGGCAGCUCGCUGGGACGGUACUGACGCUAAGGCGCGAAAGCGUGGGGAGCGAACAGG